AUUACUUUGGCAGAAUGUAUGCGUUAGAUUUAGGAUCUAAUUAUAUAGGGCUUAGGAUCUAUAGGUAAUA
rnacentral:tRNA from 1 species